rnacentral:rRNA from 1 species
GACGAACGCUGGCGGCGUGCUUAACACAUGCAAGUCGAACGGAAAGGCCCUGCUUUUGUGGGGCGCUCGAGUGGCGAACGGGUGAGUAACACGUGAGUAACCUGCCCUUGACUUUGGGAUAACUUCAGGAAACUGGGGCUAAUACCGGAUAGGAGCUCCUGCUGCAUGGUGGGGGUUGGAAAGUUUCGGCGGUUGGGGAUGGAAUCGCGGCUUAUCAGCUUGUUGGUGGGGUAGUGGCUUACCAAGGCUUUGACGGGUAGCCGGCCUGAGAGGGUGACCGGCCACAUUGGUACUGCGAUACGGCCCAGACUCCUACGGGAGGCAGCAGUGGGGAAUAUUGCACAAUGGGCGGAAGCCUGAUGCAGCAACGCCGCGUGCGGGAUGACGGCCUUCGGGUUGUAAACCGCUUUCGCCUGUGACGAAGCGUGAGUGACGGUAAUGGGUAAAGAAGCACCGGCUAACUACGUG